UAAAGCUACAAAGAGCUAAUGGGGAAUGCCUUGGUACUGACAGCCGACGAAGGACGUGUAAAGCUGCGAUAAGCCACGGGGAACUGCUAAAAGGUCUUGAUCCGUGGAAAUCCGAAUGGGGAAACCCUCCAGAGUUAAAACUUUGGAACCCGUAACUGAAUACAUAGGUUGCGCGGAGGAAAGCCUGUGAACUGAAACAUCUUAGUAACAGGACGAAGAGAAAAUAAACCAAUGAUUCCGAGAGUAGCGGCGAGCGAAAUUGGAAGAGCCUAAAUUGUGUGUACGUGAUAGCCUGCAAGCGUUGUGCACAUGAGGUUGUGGGACUUGCAUCAUAUUUUGCAGAAUAUGGAUUGAGUUAGAAAAUUAUUUAUUAGUUAAAGUCAACUGGGAAGUUGCGCCAUAGAGAGUGAUAGCCUCGUAAACGACAAUAAAUAAUCUCAAGUAAGUAUCCCGAGUAAGGCGGGGCACGUGAAACCCUGUCUGAAUCCACCGGGACCAUCCGGUAAGGCUAAAUACUAGUCAGUGACCGAUAGUGAACGAGUACAGUGAUGGAAAGGCGAAAAGAACAGUGAGAAGCUGAGUGAAAUAGACCCUGAAACCGUUAGCUUACAACCAGUCAGAGCACAAUUAAUUGUGUGAUGGCGUGCCUGUUGAAGAAUGAGCCGGCGAGUUAUUUUUUGUUGCGAGGUUAAGGAGAUCAUAUCCGGAGCCACAGGGAAACCGAGUCUGAAUAGGGCGUUAAGUAACAGGAAAUAGACCCGAACCUUGGUGAUCUAACCUUGACCAGGAUGAAGCGUGGGUAACACUACGUGGAGGUCCGAACCAACCGAUGUUGAAAAAUCGGUGGAUGAGUUGAGGUUAGGGGUGAAAUGCCAAUCGAACCAAGAGCUAGCUGGUUCUCCCCGAAAUGCGUUUAGGCACAGCGUUGGAUUUAUCUUGCAGGAGGUAGAGCACUGGUUUUGUGCGGGCGUCGAAAUGAUGUACCAAACAAUGUCAAACUCCGAAUACCUGUAAUGUCAUUAUCCAGCAGUGAGGCUAUGAGUGAUAAGAUCCAUGGCCAAGAGGGAAACAGCCCAGAACGCCAGUUAAGGUCCCUAAUAUAUGCUAAGUGGUUAAGGAGGUAGAGUUACUGAGACAACCAGGAGGUUGGCUUAGAAGCAGCCAUCCCUUGAAAGAGUGCGUAAUAGCUCACUGGUCAAGUGACUCCGCGCCGAAAAUACACCGGGACUAAAGCAUAUAACCGAAGCUGCGUCAUAUAGUUUACUAUAUGGGUAGGGGAGCGUACUGUAGUAAGACGAAGCUAGAGUGAAAACACUAGUGGAUGAGGCAGUAGUGAGAAUGUCGGCAUAAGUAGCGAAAACAUUGGUGAGAAUCCAAUGCACCGAAAACCUAAGGUUUCCCACGGCAGGCUCGUCCGCGUGGGGUUAGUCGGAUCCUAAGCUCAGGCCAAACGGCGUAGGCGAUGGACAAUAGGUUGAUAUUCCUAUACUAUCUGAUAAUCGUUAUCAGAAGCGGAGGGACGCAAGAGGAUAAGCACGCAGUCGAAUGGAAGAGACUGUAUAAGCGUGUAGCUAGGUUUGACAGGAAAAUCCGUCAAAUCGUUAAUGUGAGGCGUGAUGUGGAGAGUCUACGGACUUGAAGGUGUUGACUCCAAAUUGCCGAGAAAAUCUUCGCUCUCGAGAUUAUUGGGUAUCCGUACCGUAAACCGCCACAGGUAGGUUGGUAGAAAAUACUAAGGUGCGCGAGACAACUCUCGCUAAGGAACUCGGCAAAAUCACCUCGUAACUUCGGGAGAAGAGGUACCCUGGUAGCGUGAAGCGAUUUACUCGUGAAGCGUGAUAGGGUCGCAGUGAAUAGGCCCAAGCGACUGUUUACCAAAAACACAGGUCUCUGCUAAGUCGAUCAAGACGAUGUAUAGGGGCUGACGCCUGCCCGGUGUCGGAAGGUUACGCGGAAAUGUUAGAAGCAAUUCAAAGCAUCGAAGCUAAGCCCCGAUGAACGGCGGCCGUAACUAUAACGGUCCUAAGGUAGCGAAAUUCCUUGUCAGGUA
rnacentral:rRNA from 1 species